UCCGAGUUGUCCCCGGCAGUCCUUUUAGAGUCCCCGGCAUUACCCGCUGGCAACUAAAAGCAGGGGUUGCGCUCGUUGCGGCACUUAAGCCAACACCUCACGACACGAGCUGACGACAGCCAUGCAGCACCGUCUCAUCGAUUCCCCGAAGGGCACCCCACCAUCUCUGGCAGGUUCCGAUGGAUUUAACCCAGGUAAGGUUCUGCGCGUUGCGUCGAAUUGAACCACAUGCUCCACCGCUUGUGCGGGCCCCCGUCAAUUCCUUUGAGUUUUAGCCUUGCGGCCGUACUCCCCAGGCGGAGUGCUUAACGCGUUAGCUACGACGCCGCAGGGGUCAACACCCACGACACCUAGUUCUCAUCGUUUACAGCGUGGACUAC
rnacentral:misc_RNA from 1 species